GUGAGGAAUAUUGGUCAAUGGGCGAGAGCCUGAACCAGCCAAGUCGCGUGAAGGAAGAAGGAUCUAUGGUUCGUAAACUUCUUUUGCAGGGGAAUAAAGUGCAGGACGUGUUCUGUUUUGUAUGUACCCUGAGAAUAAGGAUCGGCUAACUCCGUGCCAGCAGCCGCGGUAAUACGGAGGAUCCGAGCGUUAUCCGGAUUUAUUGGGUUUAAAGGGUGCGUAGGUGGUUUGAUAAGUCAGCGGUGAAAGUUUGCAGCUUAACUGUAAAAAUGCCGUUGAAACUGUCGGACUUGAGUGUAAAUGAGGUAGGCGGAAUGCGUGGUGUAGCGGUGAAAUGCAUAGAUAUCACGCAGAACUCCGAUUGCGAAGGCAGCUUACUAAGCUACAACUGACACUGAAGCACGAAAGCGUGGGGAUCAAACAGGAUUAGAUACCCUGGUAGUCC
rnacentral:rRNA from 1 species